GAACUCCUCAGAGGGCACCGCCCUGGACAGAAUGGUCCUGGAGUUCCUCCCUUCUCCCGGCAGGGCAGGCGUUUAUUUAAAGUACAAGACUGUGGGAAGCUGUGCUGCAGAGAAGAGGGACGCUGAGAAGAUGCACCCGUGCAACGCCUGCUGUGAGAAAAGCCUGAUGACUCCUUUACAGUAACAGGCGUGAACCUAAGGCCUGGCAUGCAACCAGCAUUGCACUCCCUGAGAGCCUUCCAACGCCGUGCUACUUCCACAAGAACACAGAACUGGCCCACGCUCUCUCGCUCUCUCAGCCUCUCAGCCUCUUGACCUCCCUGUCUCCAGUGAUCUAUAUUCCUGCUCUAAUCUCAGUCAUCACUCCUGUUUCCCCUCCAGAACCAGGAAGUUAAAAUCCCCAGGCUCUGACCACCAACUGCUCACUUUCCAAAUUGCUGGCCAACCCCAUGUACCCCAAGGGUAGGGGCAAAUUUGUAAAUUCAGCUCAAUGUUAAACCAUAAACGAUUAAACCAUUAAACCAAUUACAUAAAA
ensembl:antisense Gm15551 predicted gene 15551